rnacentral:lncRNA from 1 species
AACGGAGAUCCCUGAUACGACCUUUGCUCGCUGGGAAGUCAAGGUGCAAAGUUUGCCUUCUGGCCCCCAGCAGAUAAGAGAGAUCAGGAAGUGGCCCAUGAUAUUAUCCCCUCCCUGAGCUCAGAGCUCGACCCUCUAUGGAUGUCGACCAACAUUUAUCGCUGGAUGGAGGUGACCUUGACGAGCUACAGCAGCUCUCUAUGGCUGUGUCAGAAACCACUCCAAAAGGUGGGGAUCUAGGAUGCAGACAAAGGAAUGAAUCAUUUCGGAUCCUCAGCCUGGCGAUGGCGAAGAGCAAGAUGGAGCCAGUGGCCGUGUGCAGCACAGGUAACAUGAUGGUUCAGAAUUAGAGGUUUUUCUUCUCUUCUGUUUUGUUUUGUUUUUUUUGUUUUGGAG